UUUGGUGGUGAUGAACUCCUUUAGCUUUUUCUUAUCUGAGAAGCUCUUUAUUGACCUUCUAUUUUGAACGAUAGCUUUGCUGGAUAUAAUAACCUUGGUCUCAGAUCCUUGCAUUCCAUUACCUUCAGUACUUCAUGACAUUGCUUUCUGGCCUGUAGAUUUUCUUAUGAGAAAUCAGGUGUCAGCCUUAUGGGAAUCCUUUGUAAGUAAGAAUUUGCUUUGCUCUUGCUGCCUUUAAUGUUCUGUUUUUAAUUCUUGACAUUUUAAUUCUGAUGUGUCUAGGCAUGGGCCUGUCUGGGUUCCUUGUGCUUGGGGUUCUUUGUGCGUCCUGUAUUUGUGUGACAUUUUCCUUUACCAGGUUAGAAAAAGUUUUCUGCUAUUAUUUCUCUCCCUUUCUCCCUUUCUGCCUCUUCUGACACACCUGCCAUUCGAAUACUGUUUCGUUUCAUGUCCCACAGCUCCCUUAAGCUGUCCUGUGUUUUAAUUGUUUUUUCUUUUUGGUUC